GGUUGUGGCUCAGUGGUAGUGCACUUGCCUAGCAUAUGUAAGGCACUGGGUUUGAUUCUCAGCACAUCA
rnacentral:tRNA from 1 species